GCCAGUGUGGCAUAGUGGUUUGAGUGCUGCAUUACAACUUUAGAGGCCAGGGUUUGAUUCCCAGCUUGGCCA